rnacentral:rRNA from 1 species
AUUGAACGCUGGCGGCAUGCUUUACACAUGCAAGUCGAACGGCAGCACGGGGGCAACCCUGGUGGCGAGUGGCGAACGGGUGAGUAAUAUAUCGGAACGUACCCGGAAAUGGGGGAUAACGUAGCGAAAGUUACGCUAAUACCGCAUAUGCCCUAAGGGGGAAAGCGGGGGAUUCGCAAGAACCUCGCGUUUUCGGAGCGGCCGAUAUCGGAUUAGCUAGUAGGUGAGGUAAAGGCUCACCUAGGCGACGAUCCGUAGCUGGUCUGAGAGGACGACCAGCCACACUGGAACUGAGACACGGUCCAGACUCCUACGGGAGGCAGCAGUGGGGAAUUUUGGACAAUGGGCGCAAGCCUGAUCCAGCCAUGCCGCGUGAGUGAAG